UGAGGAAUAUUGGUCAAUGGGGCGGGGAGCCUGAACCAGCCAAGUCGCGUGAGGGAAGACGGUCCUAUGGAUUGUAAACCUCUUUUGUCGGGGAGCAAAGAGGCCACGUGUGGUCAAAAGCGAGAGUACCCGAAGAAAAAGCAUCGGCUAACUCCGUGCC
rnacentral:rRNA from 1 species